rnacentral:misc_RNA from 1 species
UUAUUGAUAAUUCUCCACAGGUUUUCAGGCUGCAAGUAAAUAAUGGAAUUCCUAUUAAGAGUUGGUUUAGCGAUCCAUCAGAUUGUGCUCUAAUUUCGUUACUUCCCUUACUAGAGACCCUGGUUGAUGCUGAUGAUGUCCGCCCUAUCAUUGCAAAGAGAUUCGGUAACAAGGAAUAAGAGUCCCUCUUUCCUUUUUGAAUAUAGCUCCUUCUUUCUCCAAUUUAUUUUUUUAAAAGCAAAUUUGUCUCUAAUUUAGGUGG